rnacentral:rRNA from 1 species
AACUAACGCUGGCGGCAGGCCUCAUACAUGCAAGUCGAGCGGACGGACCCCUUCGGGGGCGAGUUAGCGGCGAACGGGUGAGUAACAGGUGGAUGAUCUGCCUCCCGGUGGGGGAUAACGGCUGGAAACGGCCGCUAAUACCGCAUUCGGUUGAUGCGUUGCGGCGCAUCAAAGAAAGGCGCUUCACGGCGCUGCCGGGAGAUGAGUCCGCCCCCCAUUAGCUAGUUGGCGGGAUAACAGCCCACCAAGGCUUCGAUGGGUAGCCGAACUGAGAGGUUGAUCGGCCACACUGGAACUGAGACACGGUCCAGACACCUACGGGUGGCAGCAGUAGGGAAUAUUGGGCAAUGGGCGAAAGCCUGACCCAGCCAUGCCGCGUGAGUGACGAAGGUCCUAUGGAUUGUAAAGCUCUUUUCUGAGGAAAGAACAUCCGGGGUAGGAAAUGACCCCGGCUUGACGGUACCUCAGGAAUAAGGAACGGCUAACUCCGUGCCAGCAGCCGCGGUAAAACGU